AGAGUUUGAUCCUGGCUCAGAUUGAACGCUGGCGGCAGGCCUAACACAUGCAAGUCGAGCGGUAGCACAGAGAGCUUGCUCUCGGGUGACGAGCGGCGGACGGGUGAGUAAUGUCUGGGAAACUGCCUGAUGGAGGGGGAUAACUACUGGAAACGGUAGCUAAUACCGCAUAAUGUCGCAAGACCAAAGUGGGGGACCUUCGGGCCUCAUGCCAUCAGAUGUGCCCAGAUGGGAUUAGCUAGUAGGUGGGGUAACGGCUCACCUAGGCGACGAUCCCUAGCUGGUCUGAGAGGAUGACCAGCCACACUGGAACUGAGACACGGUCCAGACUCCUACGGGAGGCAGCAGUGGGGAAUAUUGCACAAUGGGCGCAAGCCUGAUGCAGCCAUGCCGUGUGUGUGAAGAAGGCCUUCGGGUUGUAAAGCACUUUCAGCGGGGAGGAAGGCGUUAAGGUUAAUAACCUUGGCGAUUGACGUUACCCGCAGAAGAAGCACCGGCUAACUCCGUGCCAGCAGCCGCGGUAAUACGGAGGGUGCAAGCGUUAAUCGGAAUUACUGGGCGUAAAGCGCACGCAGGCGGUCUGUCAAGUCGGAUGUGAAAUCCCCGGGCUCAACCUGGGAACUGCAUUCGAAACUGGCAGGCUAGAGUCUUGUAGAGGGGGGUAGAAUUCCAGGUGUAGCGGUGAAAUGCGUAGAGAUCUGGAGGAAUACCGGUGGCGAAGGCGGCCCCCUGGACAAAGACUGACGCUCAGGUGCGAAAGCGUGGGGAGCAAACAGGAUUAGAUACCCUGGUAGUCCACGCCGUAAACGAUGUCGAUUUGGAGGUUGUGCCCUUGAGGCGUGGCUUCCGGAGCUAACGCGUUAAAUCGACCGCCUGGGGAGUACGGCCGCAAGGUUAAAACUCAAAUGAAUUGACGGGGGCCCGCACAAGCGGUGGAGCAUGUGGUUUAAUUCGAUGCAACGCGAAGAACCUUACCUGGUCUUGACAUCCACAGAACUUUCCAGAGAUGGAUUGGUGCCUUCGGGAACUGUGAGACAGGUGCUGCAUGGCUGUCGUCAGCUCGUGUUGUGAAAUGUUGGGUUAAGUCCCGCAACGAGCGCAACCCUUAUCCUUUGUUGCCAGCGGUUCGGCCGGGAACUCAAAGGAGACUGCCAGUGAUAAACUGGAGGAAGGUGGGGAUGACGUCAAGUCAUCAUGGCCCUUACGACCAGGGCUACACACGUGCUACAAUGGCAUAUACAAAGAGAAGCGACCUCGCGAGAGCAAGCGGACCUCAUAAAGUAUGUCGUAGUCCGGAUUGGAGUCUGCAACUCGACUCCAUGAAGUCGGAAUCGCUAGUAAUCGUAGAUCAGAAUGCUACGGUGAAUACGUUCCCGGGCCUUGUACACACCGCCCGUCACACCAUGGGAGUGGGUUGCA
rnacentral:rRNA from 1 species